GUAAUACUCCCUCCAUCCGGAAAUACUUGUCAUCAAAAUGGAUAAAAGGGGAUGUAUCUAGAUGUAUUUUAGUUCUAGAUACAUCUUUUUUAUCCAUUUUGAUGACAAGUAUUUUCGGACGGAGGGAGUACUGU
rnacentral:pre_miRNA from 1 species